rnacentral:snRNA from 1 species
UUAAUGAUGUGGCUUAAAGAACAUUUCUUCGUAGUACCAUUUAGUUUUGGCUCAUUUUAACAUACGGUUACAGUGCUGCGAAUUCCCCAAAUGUGGGAAUCUCGACUGCAUAAUUUCUGGUAGUGGGGGACUGCGUUCGCGCUCUCCCCUG